UGCGGCACGCUGAGCAGGAAUGGCAAUGUGGACCCCUGUGAUGGGACAUCUUGUGGGAUCUUACAGCCAGAUCUGUGGCAAAGGAGGAUGAAGGCUUAUGAGGACUCGUCAGGAAGCUGGAUAACAGAACGAGCGCAAUGUAAGCAAUUUUGUGUGUGCAUGUGGUCCCAUUACAAGGAAUACCCAAUGGCAAAUGAGCACUAAAGAUCCCUCAACCCACACAUCGAAUGUAUUGUUCCCUGAGAGCACUUGUAGAUAGAGGAGUUGGGUGGGAGAUCUGAAGUCAGGGCAUUGUUUCUAUGUAUCUGAGGAGGCUGGUUUUUGAUAUUUGUGGGGAACUAGUGGUCGUUAACUCAUUUACCCCCUAUUUGGUGGACUCUGGUUCCCCCAUCUUAAGUGCUGAGUCAGGGGCAGCUUUAACUAUUUGUUUGUUGUAGGUGCUAGAAUAGAAGACCAGAAAAUGAAAUGGUGGAGUUUGAGGCUGGAUAGACAGUUUGAAAGUUAACUGGUUGCAUGCUUGUUCAUUUGGCUGGCUUGCUUGGGUACAAAUGAUGGUUUGAAUAAAGAAAGAUAUUACGCAUGGGUCACCUCAAGUGAAGGCGCUGCAAGCACAAUGAUUGGUCAUUCUGAAUUUCCCGUCCUUCAUUCUGAAUUUCAAAGGCUCCUGUGACAAGUGGACAUGCAGUGACUGUACCUUUUGUACCUUUGUUUCUGAGGUGCCUGGAUGGAGGCUCAAAUAGAAGAUGGUGUCAGAUAUAUUGUGUUGUCAAAAUUUUGCCAUUAAAGUGUAUUAUAACAUUAA
ensembl:processed_transcript growth arrest specific 5